rnacentral:tRNA from 1 species
GUCUCAGAAGCGUAGUGGUUAACGCACGAACCCGGUUUGGCGCGAGGUGCGGGUUCGAAUCCCGCCUGAGAUG